AAAAAGUCUAACUGUGUGAUAUCACAAGAUCUUGACCUGAACGUGAAAUUAUCUGCUCACCGAAGUGUUCUCUCAUUAAAUCUAUAGAUUGAACCAAAUAACGCCGAGAUCACGGUUAUCAUGGCGCGAUAACGGUCGCCAUUGACGAUUACGUUCUCACCGGCAUCAUUUUGGAAGUAAUGUGGACCGAUCAUUCCACCGUUUUUUCUGAAUGAAAAAAUCUCUUCAGGUUGCCCUUUGUUCUAAAUGCAGCAACUUUGAUUGUUUACAUACCCAUUGAUUCAGAAAUAGGCUUCAUCGUUGAACAAAAUUUAGCUCGAAAACGUUGAAUUUUCUUGGAAGUUUUCAAGAGCCUAUAGACCAAACCGAUAUCGCUUGUGAGGUCGAGCGGCUUCAUUUUUUGCAGAAGCUGUAUUUUGUACGCUUUCAAUUAAAUGCGUUAAGUCGUUUCAUAACUCAGUCCGAGUCCACGAAAAAUCUUUUGUGGAAAAGAAAUCGAUCAAAGAUGUGCACCAUUUGGCUCUUAUUAAAUACCGCGAUAUAUUUUACAUGCAAAUAUUAAACUUUUAUAGGUACUACUUUUUCUUGAAAAAUUAUUAAGGAACCUCCUGAUCACUUAACGAAGCCGAUAAUAAGCUUCCAAAAUUUUAAGAGGCGUUCUUCAACAAACUACCUUCUCAAAAGUGAUCGCAACUAAAACGUACAUACAAGAGAAAGUAACUAAUAAAAUUCGAAAAGCUAACAAAGCAAACAAAUGUAUAUUCGUGUGAGCCAAAAUAGCCUAAAGCAUGCCUUUAUAUAUAGCAUGUUGUAGGGUAUCUCGUCUUCGCUAUAAAAAUUAAAAUUUUUACAAUAUGGUGCUACAAAACAAUCCAUAUUGAACCAUUAUUUUACAGAAAGACUAGUGAUUUCCAAAAUACUACAUUUAAAGUUUCAAUUUCAUUAUAGCAACACACUUUGUUCGUACAAAGAAUUUUUAGUUUGCCAGUUGAUUUCACAUCUCUUUCUAUCAGUAAUUGCACUUCAAUUGACUUCUGAAGAAAACUUGUUCAAAACAUUUUCGCAAAAUGAAGAUUUCAAAAACUUGCAGAUUGUUGCUGUCAGAAUUGCGUGAAACACAUCACAUGUGUUUCUCUAGAAAUUAUAUAGAAGGCCAGCAGAUGAGCAAAGUUCGAAAUUUAUUGAGAAAAAGAGAAGCAAUCAGCAAAGAAUAGCAAGCAAAAUAAAGGAUAUGCAGUAGUACAUGUGCAUUGAAGCUCGAAUUGCGCACUUUUUUUAGAUCCUUAGUCUAUUGCGUGUACAUGAAUAUGCAUAUAGAGGCGCUCCCACUUGAAUAUCAAACGAAUUCUCUUCCACAGAAAAAGCUUGAAGCAAAUUAACAAACUCUCCGUAGAAAACUUAAUUUGCGCAGAUAGCUAUUGGUGAACGCGCUGUACACAUUUAUAUAAUACAUACUCGCACAAAUGUGCUGAUCAAGUUCAAACAUAUGCUAAGUAAAAAGCUGUCAGAGCAGUUGAAAUUUUCGUGAAGCUGUAAAUGAGCUUACUAAUUUUCAUGCUGUCAAAUGUUUGAAAUAGGCAUGUGGGAUUCCAUUCCAAAUUCACUGCCAUACAGUCUUAAUAAAAAGCGACUUGCUGCUUUUACAUAUAUAUAUGCAUUUCUUUGUGUGGAUGGUGUUCCAAAGCUGGACUCGAGUUGCAAAUUACGCAUGUGUAUCUCCGUUACACACCAUAAUGGCCUGCCACAUUUCAUACUCAUUAACCUACACAAUGUGCUACAUCAAAUGCAAUAUCUAUUUGCUGAGUGAGUGACCAUAAGUUUAAUUUUAGUCAGUUAACACAAUAAAAAGAGGAAACUUGGAGCUUUCUAGUUAAUUUUACUAGUUUUGAUAUCACCGAUGCUAAUAGUGAUAAUUUACAUCAAUUAGCGUACUCUUGAACCACUGUUGAUUAAUGAACUUGUGGAAUACUCUAAAAACCAUGCGAGAAUUGAUCGUUUAAACAGUUGUGACGUCAAGGACGAUGGUGGAAGUCAAAUGUAAAUGUACAAAAUGUUUGUACAUCCAAGGAAUAUUGGAACCUCUCUGUCUGAUCAAAAGUUGUUUGCUUUCAAGUUGAUAUUCCUCUGAGGAUGAAACAAUAUAAUACAAAUUUUUUUACCUUAGAUUGCCUUAGUCAUAAUCUUAUACUAACAAAAAAAUUAAUUUUUGAUUUAUUCAAUUACAAACAAGAAAAAAACUUUAACUUUUCUAGCAACGAAGCUUUAUGCCCUUCAAAAAUAAAAAAAAAAACUAUAAAAAGCUUGAUUUUGAUCAGUUUGUAUGCUAGCUGUAUGCUAAAGUGGACCCGUUUCCGCAAUUGAGCCACUCUGCGGGGAGAAUACCGUGUAACUAUUUCUCGUAUGUAGUGAAGGAAAUAGCUAACUCACGCUUAUCCCUUAUAUAUAUAUAUAAAUAUAAGGUGCUUUCCAAAGUAAACAGAACUUUAAAAAAAAAACAGAGCACAUAGUUUUUCGGCAAAAUCAAUUUAUUUUAUUCAAAAUAGUCUCCUUCUGCUUCAAUACAGCUUUUUUCACGGUCCAAAGUAUGUCGAACGAGUGUUUUAGCUCGUUGGCCAGUAUGGCCCCACCUAUGCCGGUGCAAGCCUCUUGAAUCGCCUCUACGUCUGCAUAACGCUUUCUUUUCAUGGGCAAAUGCAUUUUUUUGAAAAGGAAGAAGUCUCACGGUGCCAUAUCAGGUGAAUACGUGGAGUGGUUAAUGGUUAAAAUGUGAUUUUUGGUCAAAUAAUCUUUCACAAGCGUCGUUGAGAGGUCUGAGCAAUUUUUGGUCGUCAGUCAAUUUGUGCGGAACAAACCGUGCACACACCUUUCGUAAGUCCAAAUGUUCGGUCAAAAUACAAUAAAUCGAUGUUUUGGAGAUGUUCAAUUCCAUUUCCAUGAAUUCCAAGGAUGAUUUCGGCUGAUUUUUGAUGAAUUCACAUACAGUUUCGAUGGAAUUUCCGUUGAUCACGUAUUUUGAUUAGCCCACAUGUUGAUCGUCCUUUACUAUAUGUCCUCACGACCACUUUGAAAACAUUGAAACCACUCGUGCACUCUGCUAAGGGAUAAGCAAUCAUCGUCAUAAACUUGUUUCAUCAAUUGAAACGUUUCGGUAAAAGUUUUACCAAUUUUAAAACAAAAUUUAAUGUUGGCUCUUUGUUCGAAGCUCAUUUUCGCACCCAUAACACAAACAUACUGACACUUAAAACGCAAUAGCUUCACUUUCAAUCAAUGAAAUGUCAUGAAACUCUCACUGGACAAUCGAUAAAGAUAGCAGAUUCUAAAGCAACAGUCGACAUAUAGAUGACGCUAUCAAAGGCCGCUUGAUUCAAAAAGUCGUGUUUUCUGUGGAGCGCACCUUGCACACAUUCCUUCUGGUCGUUACAAAUUUCGGAGCGACAUAAAAACACUUUGUCUCGGGUAUAAUGAGAGGAUACUCUACUUAACUUCACUGAAAUCACUUUGCAGUUUCUCAGCUGCUACUACUGGUACAACAAUUUCCCACAAAUAAAAUUUAAAUAGAAUUAAAGCUUCUCAUAUAAAUUCUUCUCAUACAACUUCGACUAUCGUCACGCUUGGGGCGCCCUUAGUCGCUUUGCGCUUAAUUUAUUAUGUAAAAUGCUGCAACAGCAGUAUAAUGAAAAAAUAAUGAGUUCUUAAGUUUUACUAAAUACGCCAACGCUCCGUUCAUUCAUUCAAGCACAGACAGACAGCAUUUCAGAGAAUGCAAUUGCCACUAGCUGAGCUGCUGAUUUGGAGCACGACUAUGGCCAACAACAUGCUACAGCUGCGAACUGAGCUGUGCUUACUCAAAUAGCAUUGAAGGGACCAAACACGGCAAACAAAUUAGAAUGCCCAACAAUGGCAGAGCAGCAAUCUUCUACUUUAUUUUUAUCACUCGUAUUCAAUUAUACAUGUAUUUAUCUCAUUGCAAUGCACACUCACUCGCUUGAAGGCAGCACAAGUGCACUGGGGCGUAUACGUAAUCAGAAGCAGUUUGCUUGCAUUUAAAUUGAAAAUUUGCACUUGUUAACUAUGCUAUGAAGGCAACAACAACAACUAGGCACUCAACAAGAAAAUGAAUAAUCUAAAACGAGCAAAAACAAAAAAAAAAUAGAA